rnacentral:piRNA from 1 species
CCCAUGACUAUCAUGGGCCUGACAAUGC